GCAGGUGCCCGCAGCUCACAUCUUAGAUCGUUGAUAGCCCGAGGGUCUAAUGCCUCAGCAGUGACUCCUAAAGGACAGAGUGGAGUGGAAACUUAAGGGUUCCUUGGAAAGUCAGUUGUGCUGGAUGCGUGAAAAGACCUGUGAGGAAGAAUUCUUCACUAACAACACACAUGUGUCGGUCUGCCUUACACUGUGCAGUUAGUCGAGCUCCAUUUGUUGGGACUCCAUAGAGAAAAACACAGAACCCGUGCUGAGGCAAGACACAUGCGUCACGUGGCCCUGAACAAAGGCGGUGAACUUUAUCCGGCAGUAACCUAAUCUCCUGGAUCGUUUACCAACAACACUCAGAGUGAUCUCCGGGAUUACCUUGGGCUUUGGCCAGCACCAGGGAGACUGGGCUGAACAGAAGUUUCUGGCUCUGUGUGGACCACGUUCUCUCCUAGCGUCAGAGCUUUCCUCAGAGUUCUGUGAGAGCAGUGUUAACUGUGGACAGUCCUGGACUCACAUCACCCCAGUUUGUUGCCUCAGAAGACAAAACUCUCCCAGGAUCUUGAGAUGGAUCGAGAUUGAGAGUCCUGAGUUCAGAGCUCUUAAUGGAACGGGCAAAGUUCUAAGGAGAGAAGCUAUGGAGAUGGGGAAAGGAAACUCAGGUGGAGCAGAGAUGGAGGCACAAGCCAAGGCCUCUUCCUGUUAGGAUCAGUUGGUUAUGGCGGCCCCAGGAGAUGAAUGUAUGAGGACCCAGGUUCAAUUUCCAGCACAAUGUGGCAACUUAAAAGUGUAACUCCAGUCCCAGAGGAGCUGAUGCUUCCUUCUGACCUCAGGGGCCACCGGCAUGAAAGCGUAGGCAAAAGCACCCAUGCACAUAAAAGAGCUCACACCAAAUGAGAGGACUGGAGAGAGGGCCAAGUCUUUUUAAGCCCAAGAAGGAACCUGAAGGUUUCUCUCCCCGGCCAUGAAUGCUGCGCUCCAGGCACUGCUGCAGCACGGACUGCCGAGGAGCUCCGCACAGCAGACACCACCCCCACUUAAGAAUUAAAAGCAUUGUUUUUGAAAAAAAGGAAAUCAACUUUAUUUUCUCUACAUUAAAAAAAAAUAGAACCAGC
ensembl:lncRNA